UACGAAGGGGGCUAGCGUUGCUCGGAAUCACUGGGCGUAAAGCGCACGUAGGCGGAUCUUUAAGUCAGGGGUGAAAUCCUGGAGCUCAACUCCAGAACUGCCUUUGAUACUGGGGAUCUCGAGUCCGGGAGAGGUUGGUGGAAUUCCGAGUGUAGAGGUGAAAUUCGUAGAUAUUGGGAAGAACACCGGUGGCGAAGGCGGCGACCUGGUCCUUUACUGACGCUGAGGCGCGAAAGCUAGGGGAGCAAACGGG
rnacentral:rRNA from 1 species